CCUACGGGUGGCAGCAGUGGGGAAUAUUGCACAAUGGGGGAAACCCUGAUGCAGCGACGCCGCGUGAGUGAAGAAGUAUUUCGGUAUGUAAAGCUCUAUCAGCAGGGAAGAAGAAAGACGGUACCUGACUAAGAAGCCCCGGCUAACUACGUGCCAGCAGCCGCGGUAAUACGUAGGGGGCAAGCGUUACCCGGAUUUAAGGGGUGAAAAGGGAGCGUAGACGGGUGUGAAAGUCUAAGGUGAAACCCCAGGGCUAAACCCGGGACUGAUUUGGAAACUGUGGAGCGAGAGUGUUGGAGAGGUAAGUGGAAUUCCUAGUGUAGCGGUGAAAUGCGUAGAUAUUAGGAGGAACACCAGUGGCGAAGGCGGCUUACUGGACAGUAACUGACGUUGAGGCUCGAAAGCGUGGGGAGCAAACAGGAUUAGAUACCCGGGUAGUC
rnacentral:rRNA from 1 species